rnacentral:rRNA from 1 species
CAUUCCUACGGGGGGCAGCAGUGGGGGAUAUUGCACAAUGGGGGCAACCCUGAUGCAGCGACGCCGCGUGAGCGAUGGAGUACUUCGGUAUGUAAAGCUCUAUCAGCAGGGAAGAGAAUGACGGUACCUGACCAAGAAGCCCCGGCUAAAUACGUGCCAGCAGCCGCGGUAAUACGUAUGGGGCAAGCGUUAUCCGGAUUUACUGGGUGUAAAGGGAGCGCAGGCGGCGCGUUAAGCCUGGUGUGAAAGCCCGCGGCCCAACCGCGGGACUGCAUUGGGAACUGGCGCGCUGGAGUGCCGGAGGG